rnacentral:misc_RNA from 1 species
GAUGAAGAACGCAGCGAAAUGCGAUACGUAAUGUGAAUUGCAGAAUUUAGUGAAUCAUCGAAUCUUUGAACGCACAUUGCGCCCCUUGGUAUUCCGGGGGGCAUGCCUGUUCGAGCGUCAUUUCAACCCUCAAGCUCUGCUUGGUCUUGGGCCGCGCCGGCGACGGCGGGCCUCAAAAACAGUGGCGGCGCCAUCUGGUUCCUCAGCGUAGUAAUUCUUCUCGCUGUUGGGCCCGGGUGGCCGCUGGCCAGCAACCCCAAAUUUUCUAUGGUUGACCUCGGAUCAGGUAGGGAUACCCGCUGAACUUAAGCAUAUCAAUAAGCGGAGGA